AAACCGCCGAUGGCCCACGCAAGUGGGAUCAGGUAAGGGUGAAAGGGUGCGGUAAGAGCGCACCGCGCGGCUGGUAACAGUCCGUGGCACGGUAAACUCCACCCGGAGCAAGGCCAAAUAGGGGUUCAUAAGGUACGGCCCGUACUGAACCCGGGUAGGCUGCUUGAGCCAGUGAGCGAUUGCUGGCCUAGAUGAAUGACUGUCCACGACAGAACCCGGCUUAUCGGUCAGUUUCACCU
rnacentral:RNase_P_RNA from 1 species